rnacentral:rRNA from 1 species
GACGAACGCUGGCGGCGUGCUUAACACAUGCAAGUCGAACGGAAAGGCCCUGCUUUUGUGGGGUGCUCGAGUGGCGAACGGGUGAGUAACACGUGAGUAACCUGCCCUUGACUUUGGGAUAACUUCAGGAAACUGGGGCUAAUACCGGAUAGGAGCUCCUGCUGCAUGGGGGGGGUUGGAAAGUUUCGGCGGUUGGGGAUGGACUCGCGGCUUAUCAGCUUGUUGGUGGGGUAGUGGCUUACCAAGGCUUUGACGGGUAGCCGGCCUGAGAGGGUGACCGGCCACAUUGGGACUGGGAUACGGCCCAGACGCAUACGGGAGGCAGCAGUGGGGAAUAUUGCACAAUGGGCGGAAGCCUGAUGCAGCAACGCCGCGUGCGGGAUGACGGCCUUCGGGUUGUAAACCGCUUUCGCCUGUGACGAAGCGUGAGUGACGGUAAUGGGUAAAGAAGCACCGGCUAACUACGU